rnacentral:rRNA from 1 species
AAUCUGCCGCAAUGGACGAAAGUCUGACGUAGCAACGCCGCGUUAGUGAUGAAUGUUUACGGUUAGAAAAACUCUUUUGUCAGGGAAGAACAAGUAUCGGAGUAACUGCCGGUACCUUGACGGUACCGGACCAGAAAGCCACGGCGAACUACGUGCCAGCAGCCGCGGUAAUACGUAGGUGGCAAGCGUUGUCCAGAAUUAUUGGGCGUAAAGCGCGCGCAGGCGGUCUUUUAAGUCUGAUGUGAAAGCCCCCGGCUCAACCGGGGAGGGUCAUUGGAAACUGGGAGACUUGAGUGCAGAAGAGAAGAGUGGAAUUCCACGUGUAGCGGUGAAAUGCGUAGAGAUGUGGAGGAACACCAGUGGCGAAGGCAACUCUUUGGUCUGUAACUGACGCUGAGGCGCGAAAGCGUGGGGAGCGAACA